GAGUGGCGAACGGGUGAGUAAUAUAUCGGAACGUGCCCUGUAGCGGGGGAUAACCUAUCGAAAGAUGGACUAAUACCGCAUACGCUUACGGAGGAAAGCGGGGGUCGCAAGACCUCGCACUAUAGGAGCGGCCGAUAUCGGAUUAGCUAGUUGGCGGGGUAACAGCCCACCAAGGCUACGAUCCGUAGCUGGUCUGAGAGGAUGAUCAGCCACACUGGAACUGAGACACGGUCCAGACUCCUACGGGAGGCAGCAGUGGGGAAUUUUGGACAAUGGGCGCAAGCCUGAUCCAGCCAUGCCGCGUGAGUGAAGAAGGCCUUCGGGUUGUAAAGCUCUUUCGGCAGGAACGAAAUGGUCCGUGCUAAUACCGCGGACUGAUGACGGUACCUGAAGAAGAAGCACCGGCUAACUACGUGCCAGCAGCCGCGGUAAUACGUAGGGUGCAGGCGUUAAUCGGAAUUACUGGGCGUAAAGCGUGCGCAGGCGGUUUCUUAAGUCAGAUGUGAAAGCCCCGGGCUUAACCUGGGAACUGCGUUUGAAACUGGGAGACUUGAGUGUGGCAGAGGGGGGUGGAAUUCCACGUGUAGCAGUGAAAUGCGUAGAGAUGUGGAGGAACACCGAUGGCGAAGGCAGCCCCCUGGGUUAACAC
rnacentral:rRNA from 1 species